rnacentral:rRNA from 1 species
UACGAAGGAUGCAAGCGUUAUCCGGAUUCAUUGGGUUUAAAGGGUGCGUAGGCGGAUUUGUAAGUCAGUGGUGAAAUCUCUCGGCUUAACCGAGAAAUUGCCAUUGAUACUGCAGGUCUAGAGUACAGUUGACGUUGGCGGAAUAUGACAAGUAGCGGUGAAAUGCAUAGAUAUGUCAUAGAACACCGAUUGCGAAGGCAGCUGACGAAAGUGUAACUGACGCUGAUGCACGAAAGUGUGGGGAUCAAACAGG